rnacentral:lncRNA from 10 species
GCCGCCCCUCGCGCCCUGGUGGCUAGGGGCGCACAUGGGGCCUGGCCAGGUGGGCGACGGCGCGAAUCCGUAGGGUCGUGUCCCCCCAGUCCAGUCCCUGGUACUAAGCCCGGAGCUGCCGGAGGUCAUGCAGCCUUUCCGCGCCCAGGUGAAACCGCCUUUGCAAAAUGAUGACUGAAACAGUGAAAGAGAUCUAACUCAGCCGACUCUAUCUUGCUUCUAACCUCCAAGCUGUCCUUAUUCAUCCCUGCUGGUAGGUUGAAAUAACUUUGGGAGAAACUCAGUUUAUAGUUUUUUGUUUUUUUCUUUCUUUCUUUCUUUCUUUUGAGACGGAGUCUUACUCUGUUUCCAGGCUGGAGUGCAGUAGCGCGAUCUCAGCUCACUGCAACCUCCAACUCGCUGGUUCAAGCAAUUCUCCUGCCUCAGCCUCCCGAGUAGAUGGGAUUACAAUCAUGCGCCACCACGCCCAGCUAAUUUUGUAUUUUUAAUAGAGACGAGGUUUCUCGAUGUUGGCCAGGCUGGUCUUGAACUCCCGACCUCAGGUGAUCCGCCCAUCUUGGCCUCCCAAAGUGCUGGGAUUACAGGCGUGAGCCACCGCGCCCAGCCAGUUUAUAGUUUAAAACAAAGACAGUAACAGCCCUUUCCCAAAGCAGACCACCUCCUUGCCUGGGGACUAGAUUGCAUUUUUAGGACUAACAUUAGCCACAAUAUUGGGAAUUAUGGUUUAGGAGUCGUGCAUCUGGAGGCUACAAGAUUCUGACCCUCCCUAAGCUGCCCCUAAGAUCAGUGCUUGAGAUAUUUUGCCGACCCUGCAACUUGAUGGAUCUGCUGGCACCAACCAGAUUGAUAAACUGGCUCAUCUGAUCUUGUGGCCACCACCCAGGAGCUGACUCAGCGCAAGAAGACAGCUGACUCCCUGUGAUUUCCUCCCUGACCAAUCGGCUCUCCUGGCUCACUGGCUCUCCCCACCCGCCAAGUUAUCCUUAAAAACUCUGCUCCCCGGCACUCCAGCAGCCUGGGCGACAAGAUCAAGACUCUCUCAAAAAAAAAAAAAAAAAAAACCUCUGCUCCGCAAAUGCUCAAAGAGAUCGAUUUGAGUAAUAAUAAAACAUAAAACUCCGGUCUCCCGCACAGCCAGCUCUGUGUGAAUUACUCUUUCUCUAUUGCAAUUCCCCUGUCUUAAUGAAUCGGCUUUGUCUAGGCAGCAGGCAAGGUGAACCCCUUGGGCGGUUACACAGCGCUCUGAGACCUCGCAGGAAGAGUCGCCUCCGGCCUUUGUUAGACAUUGGGGCAGACAGUGCGGUGCGCUUCAGGGUUCAUCCACCCCACACAGCCUACAAGUCUCCCGAGGUCUCCGGCGUUUCCUUCUCCAGAUGCUUCUUUUGGGGGCCCUGGUUGAGAGGGUGGUGCAGGAGGAGCCUUAGUC